AAAACGCCAGGGCCUGUCCGAGGCCUUGCACCUCCCCCGCCCACCUCAGCCACCCCCUCUUUGCUGAGUAACAGGCCACCUCCCCCAGCCCGAGACCCUCCCAGCAGGGGAGCAGCCCCUCCACCCCCACCGCCCAUGAUCCGAAAUGGUGCCAGGGAUGCCCCUCCUCCCCCACCACCUUACCGGAUGCAUGGGUCAGAACCCCCAAGCAGAGGGAAGCCUCCACCUCCACCCUCAAGGACACCAGCUGGGCCGCCCCCUCCUCCACCACCACCCUUGAGGAAUGGCCACAGAGACUCCAUCACCACUGUCCGCUCCUUCCUGGAUGACUUUGAGUCCAAGUACUCCUUCCAUCCGGUGGAGGACUUCCCCGCUCCAGAAGAGUACAGGCAUCUUCAAAGAGUGUACCCCAGCAAAACAAACCGAGCUGCCCGUGGAGCCCCACCUCUGCCGCCCAUUCUCAGGUGAAGCCUGGCGUGGUCCUGCUCCUCAGGAAAAGGAUGAACCUCCUCUUCUCAGAUGGUCCCCAACCCCUAACACCUGCAUGAGAGCUCCUACAGUGUUUCUCCAGUGCAACCAACCCUAGACUCUGAGCACCCUCCCAGCCCAGCGCCAUCUAUGCAUCUCCUCUCUGGACUUGGUGAUUGGACUCUUUCUAUUGGCCACGGGGCCUCACGCCCAUGUCCACCUUCUUCCAGCAAGCCUGCUAGCCAGAGGAGCAGAAAGCUUUCACGCCUCCUGCUUUCUUCCAGAGAAAGUGUUACCCAUUGCCAGCUCCUGGACCACUUGGACUCUUGGGACAGGCAGUGGUUCGAUCUCACCAGAUUUUUAAUUGUUCACUAUUUAUCCUUCUCAAAUCUGUUAGCCGUUCCGCUCCCAGCAUCCUGAAGUGAACAGAGCUAAGAGGGAGAAGAGCUAACACUGGGAGAGCUCCAGGGUAGAUGCUAAAUGUUGAACUUGACUGUGAAGUCCUCCCAUUUGUUGUUGAAAUGGGAGCUGAUGCCUUUUAUACAAUGUUAUCAAAGUGUGAAAAUUUUCCCUUACUGAAACAGAGAACAUUAAAAAUAUAUGUGUGCGUAUAUAUGUAUACACACACACACACACACACACACACACACACACACACACACACACACACCCUACUCACAAAUAAAGCCAAAGCCCAGCCUUUUGCUCGGGCUGAUGUAUCCUCCUCGACUUGACCUGCGCCCUUUCUGUUUCCCAGAUCCCACUGUGUCAUGUGGGCAUUGAUUUUAUUCUCAUUCUCUUUGGUGCCACAACCACCAAAACAAGGCCUGGGUCUAGACCCAAGUGAGCUCGCUCCUCCACUUGAGCGUGUUGGUGACACACCUAACUUAAAUGUCUUUGCCUUAUUCAUCAUUUGGUCCUGCUGUUAAUAACAAAUUUAUUAUCGUGUAUAUUUGCUAUUGAAGAUGGGAACGUGAUCCUC
rnacentral:lncRNA from 1 species